rnacentral:rRNA from 1 species
UGCCGCGUGAGUGAAGAAGGCCUUCGGGUUGUAAAGCUCUUUCGGCGGGGAAGAAAUAGCGUGGGUUAAUACCCUGCGUUGAUGACGGUACCCGCAUAAGAAGCACCGGCUAACUACGUGCCAGCAGCCGCGGUAAUACGUAGGGUGCGAGCGUUAAUCGGAAUUACUGGGCGUAAAGCGUGCGCAGGCGGUUGUAUAAGUCAGAUGUGAAAGCCCCGGGCUCAACCUGGGAACUGCAUUUGAGACUGUACGGCUAGAGUUUGGCAGAGGGGGGUGGAAUUCCACGUGUAGCAGUGAAAUGCGUAGAGAUGUGGAGGAACACCGAUGGCGAAGGCAGCCCCCUGGGCCAAUACUGACGCUCAUGCACGAAAGCGUGGGGAGCAAACAGGAUUAGAUACCCUGGUAGUCCACGCCCUAAACGAUGUCAACUAGGUGUUGGGGGGGUUAAACCCUUUAGUGCCGUAGCUAACGCGUGAAGUUGACCGCCUGGGGAGUACGGCCGCAAGGCUAAAACUCAAAGGAAUUGACGGGGACCCGCACAAGCGGUGGAUGAUGUGGAUUAAUUCGAUGCAACGCGAAAAACCUUACCUACCCUUGACAUGUCAGGAAUCCCGGAGAGAUUU